AUUGAACGCUGGCGGCAGGCCUAACACAUGCAAGUCGAACGGUAGCACAGAGAGCUUGCUCUCGGGUGACGAGUGGCGGACGGGUGAGUAAUGUCUGGGAAACCGCCUGAUGGAGGGGGAUAACUACUGGAAACGGUAGCUAAUACCGCAUAAUGUCGCAAGACCAAAGAGGGGGACCUUCGGGCCUCUUGCCAUCGGAUGUGCCCAGAUGGGAUUAGCUUGUUGGUGAGGUAAAGGCUCACCAAGGCGACGAUCCCUAGCUGGGCUGAGAGGAUGACCAGCCACACUGGAACUGAGACACGGUCCAGACUCCUACGGGAGGCAGCAGUGGGGAAUAUUGCACAAUGGGCGCAAGCCUGAUGCAGCCAUGCCGCGUGUGUGAAGAAGGCCUUCGGGUUGUAAAGCACUUUCAGCGGGGAGGAAGGCGGUGAGUUUAAUAAGCUCACCGAUUGACGUUACCCGCAGAAGAAGCACCGGCUAACUCCGUGCCAGCAGCCGCCGUAA
rnacentral:rRNA from 1 species